GCUGCAGGUGAAGGGGGCACUGAGGAAGCUGGUAUGGUAAAUGGAACAGCUGACGUGGCAGAUAAGAUGAAGAAAACAACCAUAACAGAAAAGCCUGAAGGGGAAGAGGAGGGAACCUCUUCU